rnacentral:sRNA from 1 species
AUUCCCGGGCCCUGGCUUCUUGACGCGAUGAGGUUCCGGUUCUGUGGUGAUCUGGACUGUCCCGACUGGGUCCUGGCAGAAAUCAGCACGCUGGCCAAGAUGGUUAAGUGCACAGGGUCUACACUGGGUGGAGGAGGGGUGUUGGGCUGGGGAUUGUGGCUGUAGAGGAUGGUGAGGUUUCUCUGGGGCUAGGGCCUCAGUGCUCUCAGCCUGUGCUGCCAUGCUUUGUGACCUUGAUCAGUGGCUGGCCUGCUCUGAGCCUGUCCCCAGGAAGGAGGGGUGAGGUUUGCCAGCCUGGCUGAUGUAAGGACUUCCCUUCCAGUCCUCUGUGAAGUUGCGGCUGCUCUGCAGCCAGGUACUAAAGGAGCUGCUGGGACAGGGGAUUGAUUAUGAGAAGAUCCUGAAGCUCACGGCUGACGCCAAGUUUGGUGAGUAUCCCGCUGAGUCUAUAAGCCCCAGGCAACCCUGGGAACUUGGCCUGGUGCCUGG